rnacentral:misc_RNA from 1 species
UACAGAGGUCUCAAGCGUUGUUCGGAUUCAUUGGGCGUAAAGGGUGCGUAGGCGGUGCCGUAAGUCGGAUGUGAAAUCCCGGGGCUCAACCCCGGAACUGCAUUCGAUACUGCGGUGCUCGAGGACUGGAGAGGAGACUGGAAUUCAUGGUGUAGCAGUGAAAUGCGUAGAUAUCAUGAGGAAGACCGGUGGCGAAGGCGGGUCUCUGGACAGUUCCUGACGCUGAGGCACGAAGGCCAGGGGAGCAAACGGG